GCCCGGCUCUAGCUCAGUCGGUUUAGAGCAUGAGACUCUUAAUCUCAGGGUCGUGGGUUCGAGGCCCCACGUUGGGCG